GGGUGCUCACCGUUAGGGGAGAGGCUGCCCUGGCUGGGUGCGGGAGCCGGGAGAACCAGCAGAUGCGCAUGGCCUGGAAGGUGGACUUUUCCACACAGAGCGCCUCGCCAGGAGAGCCUUCUGGCCCUGCUCACCAGCUUUUCCCUACUUCAUGUCCAUUUCGAGGCUUACGUGCGCCAAGAAUGUUUUUUGAGGAGUCCCUAGAAAUCCUGCAGCGCCUGCUCUGGGGGCCGGAGGGCAGCAUGGCCGAGAACCCGGGGAGGGGCCUCUCUCUCUAGCUGACUUUGCAUUUGUUGAUGAUGAAGAAGGAAGCUGUGGCCUCUGAAAUGGAUCCUUCAUCUUUCAUAGUGAGGGAAGGACUUCUUACUUACAACAGCCAGCUUGUUGCUACCCAGAAAAUAACAAGUGCAAGUGAUCGUCAACAUCAAGUCCAGCACAGAAUGGACACAGGAUCAGCUCAUCGAGUUCAGUGUCACUUACAGUCAAACCAAGAAAACAAAACCUCUUACACUGUGGCUGGCGUCAGGGAGAGCUGAGGACCAAAGAGGUCUGAAAGUUCUAUUGACAUAGAAACUAUUUUUAUCAUUACUUUUCUCAUUUUUGUCCACGCGUCAGGGAAUGAAUCUCUCAACAGUCAUCCAGGUGCCCCCAGCAGCACACGGCUGAAGGGGACGCACAGUGAAUUCUUUUGUAGAAGGAAGAAAGAAAACUCCCUCCCCCAUCUUGUGAGUGUGCUGCCUCUGGCUCGUCUCUCUCUAGCAACAUAUUUUGGGGACUGAAGGCAAAGUGCUGGCUAUUGAGAUUAAAAAAUGUCAAGGUCUCCAUUCCAGAAGCUUCUACAGACUGAGCAAAGAAAUCAGAAAUGCAUAUUUCAGUUUUUGCAUAUUGGCAUUUCUCGGCAGAGCCCAAGGGAGCGGCUGUCUCUGCCUUUGUGCUAGCAACGGUCCCUUCUGGCUGCUCCGUCUCCGUUUUUGGCUCCCGGUAGAGGCACGUCUGUGUGUAUGUUUGAAAGUGCAAUGAACUGCACAGUGAAGUUCUUUUUCGCUGCAGAUUCUGUAGGUGUAACAUCUCAGCCCACACAGCCCACCUGCUCCAAUCUCCGUUUCAUCUUUAACAACUGGUGUUUUGAACAGCGGUGCUGACUCGGGCGUAGUUACCGGAGCGUGAAAUCACCAGCAAGACCCCGUUGCCAGCCUAUUGAGGGGAUAUUCAAGUAAGUUGUCCAAGUGGCGGUGGCCAGGCCCCCUGCCCUAUCGGAAGAAAGGAAGAAAGGUCGUGGACCUUGGCAUGGCCGCUGGAAGGGAGAGCAGAAAACACAGGGAUGGUGCAGGACUGGGCUGGGGGGAGGCUUGUUUUUAAAAAGGUGGAAUGAAGUGAAAACCUUCUUGGCAGGGAGGUGUAUUGUUAACACCGCAGUUUUGCUUUUGCAUGUCUUCGUAGGAAAUUUCAGGCAUGUUUUUCUUUUUUUUCCCCCAAGAAAAGUGACCUUAAGAAACAAUGCCGCCUUCCCUGGCUUCUAUUUGAGCUCUUGGAGGGACACAGAAACACCUUUUCCAAUGAGUGAAUGAAUGACUAUGAGAAUGAACGGAUGUCUGUAAACGGAGUCAGACCCUCCAAUUUCUUAUGGGAAUAAAUUGUGAUAUAUUAUAAAUGUCAACUAAGAGGAGCCCUUCUGAGCCUGAGAACAGAUUACUGUACCAGAUCGAGAUUCAUGAGCAUCCAAAUAAAUGGCCAUGGAUUUCAGAAGCCCUUGCCAUGACUCCUGCCACGGCCUUCCCUGCCCCUGUCCUGUGCCUCUCUCUGUCCACAUCACUGAGCCUCAUCUGUCCUCUGUGGAUUCACGCGCCAGUCUUUUUGGAUGAGCACUGAACAUGCUUCUGCAGCAUCAGGGAGGUUUUGAAAGCUUUUGUCUCAUCCUCUCUGUGGGCUUGUGACACAUUUGCAUUCCCCACGCCAUCAAAGCUUAGCAGCUCCAGGUGACUUACUGUGGUCAAUGAGGGUUAAAUAAUGCACAUCUCUCCUGGGAAGACACUUCAGGCUGCAGUGCAUAUGUUGUCACACUCUUUUUCUUCUGCUUCUCUAACCAGCAGUGUUCUAGAUGGUCACCUGGGGUCUUAGAGUGAAGCUGGUAAUGGUGGAAAGAAAGUCUCUGCACAAGUCAGAUGGGAUCAGCAUGAAGGAAUCAUAAAUGUGUGUUAUUUAAGCCUUUCUUGGCUAAUGGAAUUACUUAAUCCAGCUGAGCCCAUCUCCCACAAUUUUUACCUCUGAAGAUUUCAGUUUUCCAGCCUCCCUUGCAGCUAGACCUGGUCUUGACAUCUAGUCCUAGGUAAUGAAUGCAAUAAAGUCUCCUAAAAUGACACUUUUAUAGUAUCCAAUAACUGUUUCUCCAGUUAAUGAUUUCAUAAUCUUGCAAAACCAAAAUCAUGUAGUCUACAGUCAAAUUUCUUUAUUCUCUAGUUUUUUCCAGAAAUGGAUUUCAACGUUUUCCGUUUUUAGAGUGUUUAAAGUAGGCCCUGAUUGAUUGCAAGCUCAAUCUAUCACUUACAUGUUGCAAAAAAUGUUUGUAUUGGAAUAGGUGGGAAAAUGCCUCAUUACUUCCUGCUAUUUUCUUACAGAGACCAGCAUAGACAUGUGCCCUCUGUCCCCAGGUUCUGAGCACGUUCUAAAAGACUUUUCUCUCUUAGUAUAAAAAAGUCAGACAUUUGCAAUUAUGGUCUCUAAAAUAAAAGCAAGAUAUGGACCAAGAAGGCCCAUAUCUUCCCAGAGAGCCAGAACAAUUUGGAAAGAAGAGACCUCAGACCCUGCUCUCUAAAUCCCACAGGCCAGUGGUGAUUACAGACCCACAGACAUGACUGACGGCCAGAGGAUCCUCCAAGGACAGACCCUGUGAUGAAGACCUCUCUCCCACACUACAUUUCAUUUAUGAUUUCCUUCAACCCUAUCUGGACAUCCACAUCUUCUUACCUCCAUUGCAGCAAUGAUUUCCCCUAGACUAUUAUUACAUUGGAAGAAAAAUAUUUACGAAGUCCUGGUAGGCAAAGCAUAUGCUUGGUGUAAGGUGAGAUGGCAGAUGAGUCAGACCUCAGAGAGAGGCCACAAAGACACAGGGUGAAGGUGCAG